ACCCUUUCUUUAUUCAUACACAGGCUUUAUAGUGAUAAUGCUUUAUUAGCUAUGGUAAUAAAUUGGCGUCAAAAUAAACUAAUCGGACCCGGGGGCGGUACCCGGCGCCUCCACCAAAGUUAUUUAUUAUAAUUUUAGUGGGGGCGAAAUAGGAUCGACGAGAGCGUAAAAGACCACCUUUUACCCGGCAUGGUACCACCGUAUCGGACUAAAAACUUUAGUUGCAAAUGACAACUAUGCUCCGGUGGCUGUAGCUGCGUAAGCAGUUUUAGCGCCGAAAUUAAGUCCUUGUCUCUAGCAAGAUAAGGCGGGGUUCGGGUGGCACCUGGCAACAGAACGCCCCUUUU
rnacentral:tmRNA from 2 species